UAGCAGAGGUGAUGACACAAUAGUCUCAGA
rnacentral:piRNA from 2 species